GACGAACGCUGGCGGCGUGCUUAACACAUGCAAGUCGAACGGAAAGGCCCUGCUUUUGUGGGGUGCUCGAGUGGCAAACGGGUGAGUAACACGUGAGUAACCUGCCCUUGACUUUGGGAUAACUUCAGGAAACUGGGGCUAAUACCGGAUAGGAGCUCCUGCUGCAUGGUGGGGGUUGGAAAGUUUCGGCGGUUGGGGAUGGACUCGCGGCUUAUCAGCUUGUUGGUGGGGUAGUGGCUUACCAAGGCUUUGACGGGUAGCCGGCCUGAGAGGGUGACCGGCCACAUUGGGACUGAGAUACGGCCCAGACUCCUACGGGAGGCAGCAGUGGGGAAUAUUGCACAAUGGGCGGAAGCCUGAUGCAGCAACGCCGCGUGCGGGAUGACGGCCUUCGGGUUGUAAACCGCUUUCGCCUGUGACGAAGCGUGAGUGACGGUAAUGGGUAAAGAGGCACCGGCUAACUACGUG
rnacentral:rRNA from 1 species